UGUAUAAUGGGUCAGCGACUUAUAUUCUGUAGCAAGGUUAACCGAAUAGGGGAGCCGAAGGGAAACCGAGUCUUAACUGGGCGUUAAGUUGCAGGGUAUAGACCCGAAACCCGGUGAUCUAGCCAUGGGCAGGUUGAAGGUUGGGUAACACUAACUGGAGGACCGAACCGACUAAUGUUGAAAAAUUAGCGGAUGACUUGUGGCUGGGGGUGAAAGGCCAAUCAAACCGGGAGAUAGCUGGUUCUCCCCGAAAGCUAUUUAGGUAGCGCCUCGUGAAUUCAUCUCCGGGGGUAGAGCACUGUUUCGGCAAGGGGGUCAUCCCGACUUACCAACCCGAUGCAAACUGCGAAUACCGGAGAAUGUUAUCACGGGAGACACACGGCGGGUGCUAACGUCCGUCGUGAAGAGGGAAACAACCCAGACCGCCAGCUAAGGUCCCAAAGUCAUGGUUAAGUGGGAAACGAUGUGGGAAGGCCCAGACAGCCAGGAUGUUGGCUUAGAAGCAGCCAUCAUUUAAAGAAAGCGUAAUAGCUCACUGGUCGAGUCGGCCUGCGCGGAAGAUGUAACGGGGCUAAACCAUGCACCGAAGCUGCGGCAGCGACGCUGAUGCGUUGUUGGGUAGGGGAGCGUUCUGUAAGCCUGCGAAGGUGUGCUGUGAGGCAUGCUGGA
rnacentral:rRNA from 1 species